GUCGGGGUCGCAGUUGGGUGUGUCGGGGCGUGGUGCUCUCCUCCGGAGCCCAAGCCACGGGGCGCGUGGAGGGCCGGGGAGGGGGCGCUGGCGGCGGUUUCCUCCCGCAGCAGGUUCGGGGUCUGCGCCCCCUCCCGCCGCAGCCGAAGAGAUCGGGGAGGUGAGCGCAGCGCGCAGACCCCCGUGCGGCCCCACCCAGGUGCCGGCGCCCUGAGCGGUGCCAGCCCCGAGGGAGCCGAGUUUUACCUUGGGGUGGAGGCUGCCUCGUCAGGGCCAGUGUGGAGGGGCGAGCGCUGUGAAGGAAGCCCUACUGGUGCGCCCCCAGGCCAACCCUGGUGACCCACCAGGUGCUAAGGAAGAGCUGAGUGUUUUCCGAAGUCGCAAUACAGAAAAGAAACAGAAAAAACAGUGAGACUUCCCACCAGAGCCCAUGCGUUCUGGUGCGUUGCCGUUCGGAUUUGGCUUUUGGAAGGCUGGGGAGCUGUGCCCAUGCGAGGCCUAGGAGACACCAGCCUGGUGCAGUACCCUGGGGAGCCAGCUGCCGUGCCAUGAGGCCGGGAGACCCAGUGAUACUCAGCCCAUGGGGAGACCCAUUCGGCAAGGUGAUGGGCUUUUGCCCGCAGCCAUGUGAGUGAGGUAGAUGCCCAGAAGAACAUCAGGGAACACGCGUUACCACCUCCGCCCGAACCAGGCUUCCCUGAAUCUCCUCCUCAUUCUGUCCUCCCGCUCUUCCACCAGAUGUCUAAUAGGUGCCUGCCGUCCGUCGAGCAGCGCUGGGUCCUGGAGGCUCUGUCCUGCCCCCAUGGGACUCUGAGUGCCGAAAUGGGGACCGGCACACGGGGCAGGCCUUCUGAUUUUAUCAAAGAGACAAGCCAGUCUUGUUGACCACACUGACACUUUCCAGUCUGCCCGGUCUGUUCAGAGCUCAGCCUCAGCAAGCAACACCAUGUCACUAGAAUUUAAUAACAUUUUGUUAGUAUAUUUAUAUAUUUUUAUCUGUGGGCUGCCCUUUACUCAUGGCAAGUGUUACUGAUUUUUUUUCCUAUAGAGAUGUGAUUCCAAACUUCCUUCUGAAGUAAGACCGUGUAAGUUUAUUUGAUAAAAAAUAGUAAGGCACCAACAGUGGAGCUGUGAUGUCACAGUGGCUCCUGAGGACUCCGAAGGUUGGGACCACGCAGCUGCUGUGCAGGAGCUGGGGGGACAGCUUCCCUCUUGCUGGCUGCACGGUGACUGUAUUUCUGGACCAGUGGUCCCCAAGAGCCGCUUCCAAGUGAUGCAGAUCCGUGAUGGAGGAGAUGUGACCAAGUCAGGUUGUCACAGAGCUAAACUGAUGCGUGGCCUUUCUGACAUCAGGUCUUUUUUUAAGUAGUAAGUACACUUUUCCAAAAUAAAUGGUGACUGAAAAUGAGAACCCUCAACUUGGCCCCAUGUAGUGCUGACAGCCCCAGACUGCCCUGUCUUUCCCUUGUAUGCGGAUGGUGGUCUGCCGAAGAUGGUUUGUCUGUCUUGUAGCUCAAGCCCAGGACCUCUGCGCAGCCCUGCCUUGCAGACAAUGGAAUAAAUAGUCACAGAUAAAACGGUUUGUAUCCUGUGUGAACAGUAAUAGCAAACCUGUGUGUGUGUGUGUGUGUGUGUGUGUGUGUGUGUGUGUGUGUAUUUUCUGGUCUGAUGCAAAUGCAGAUGUGUUGCACCGCCCUUCCUGUUUAAAAGGAUUCCUGCAUUGUUUUCCACCCCCUUCAGGUAGGCAUUUCAGGCACCGUGUCUGUAAUGAAAGGGCAUGUAAAUAAUGGAUAGAUAUGGUCACAGGUGCCCAAGACGCAGCAGGGAGGGGUGGGGGUGCACAUGUGGCUACUUCCUCUGCUGGGGAAAGGAGCGGACAGCAGGGUCUGAGCAGGAUGAGCUUUCCGAGGGCAGCAGCCUCCUUGGCUCCUGAGAGUAGUGAAGUCACUGUCUGGGCUGGGAGGGGCGCAGGGUUCGGACCCUUCCGGUCACACCCCCAGGACCAGCUCCACCUGGCUCUACCUCCUAACAGUACAUUCAGCUCUGAAGUCAUCAGUGAGUAAAUCCACUUGUGAGCAUAGCACCCCACUGUCCAGUCACCUUCCAAACACAGGAGACUGGAGUGACGUUAUAGAACCCAAACCCGGGACUGAGAUUCUUAGGUCCCUGUGAGAGAUUCAGCAGACAGAGCAUGUAUCAGUUUCAGCAACUGCCUGAUUAAAAGCAUCUGAAGGACCAGAUACUUAAAAUGACUUAAAGUGGUUGUAGCCCCUGCCAGGUCUUUACCGUGGAAACAUUAUUACUGUGCUCAGCAUCAUCUGUCACCAUGGAAGCGGACUGGCAAUCCAUGUGUGCCUGUGUGUGUGCUCAUACAUACCCAAAGCAGUGGCUCCUGUUACUGUUCAGAUCUGGGCUCAGCACCCUGAGCAAGUGUUUAUGGGGACUGUAGAUGUUUAUGGGGACUAAUUUUCACACAUCAUGGAGGGUGGCUAGGGGAGCCGGGUAUGUCCACAUCUCCUCAUGCGUGCAGCUCACAAUUACAUCAGCGUCAUGCAGAUUACACUGAAUGAAGCAAUGUCAGAAGGUGAUAGCUGGGCAUAAGGAUGCACGGCUGUGAUCCCAGCACUCUGGGAGGCUGAGGUAUGAGAACCUUGAGUUUGAGCCUGACCUGGGCGAAUUAGCAAGCCUGCCUUUGUGCAGAAGGGAAUCUGAUUUUCUCUAAGUGCCACGGUCAACAGAGCUCUAUUUUUGCUACUGAAAGGCAGAAUUCUUCCAGCACAACAUUGUAAAGAAAGCACCCUGUGGAAAGGUUGUUUUCCAGUGUCCAAGGGUGGUCUUCCUCCAGCCCCCCAAACCCAGAUGUUUUGCAACCCAAGUGCAGAGCUUCAAGUUUGCUGUCCCUGCUGGGAAGCUGUCACAAGGUAGUGGUCUUCUCCGUGUCCUUCUCCGUGUCCGCCAGCAGAUGGAGGCGGUGCUGUCUGUGUAGCUUAAGCUUCCUGUUACCUGUUAGCACUUUAAAUCCACACACGAUACAGAUUCUUUAUGGGAAAAACAAGGAAGUAGAGGCGUGCACACAGGGGCAGAGACUGACACUCGUGUACCCCACUGUCUAGGUGACCCCUGACACCUGACAGCAAGGUCUCUCUUGCAGACUUAACCAGCUUCAGAGGCUGCGAUGCACGAAUUCUUUUUACUAAACAUCAGUGUCCUGGGAUGAGUGCAGAUCAUUGGAGGUGAGGACCAACUUUAAGCAAAAACAGUUUUCAAACCAAAUCCUGCUUCAGUGACAAAGGGACAUACAAGUGUGAGCAAGCAGGUGCGUGGCCUGUGCUACAGCUACGCCAGGAAGGACCCAGCUCUCCCUUCCGGCUGCUCAGACUGGCACCAUGCAUGGGAGAUGGUGGUGUGGUCUGUGCCCGUCAGCUGCCCCACCGAGGGGCUCAGGUUACAGAAGCUACCUCACCAGGCUGGGAGACUGGCUGCUGGUUCCCUGAAUCUACUUCUCGGCUCAGAAGAGGGCAGAGUUCCCCACACAGUAUUUUUGGCUGGGACACCUGUUGUAUGGUCAAUAAAAAUCAUUUCCAGCAUCCACCACGCCUGUUAACAGACCCUUGGUCCCUAUCCAGGGGAAAGGUGGCUGAAGCCUUAGAGGGCUGGGUUUUUGUUAGUCUUUCAAAUGCUAAAGAAAUGCCUCUAAGAGAAUAAAUGAAAACCCAGGUA